GGGGGAUUAGUUCAGUGGUAGAAUAUCGGAUUCCAAAUAUCCACUAUGAGUGUAGUUUGCUAUCCGCAGGUCGUCUGUUCAAACCAGGCAUUCCUCA